AGAGUUUGAUCCUGGCUCAGGAUGAACGCUGGCGGCGUGCUUAACACAUGCAAGUCGAACGAAGCAUUUAGAACAGAUUACUUCGGUUUGAAGUUCUUUAUGACUGAGUGGCGGACGGGUGAGUAACGCGUGGGUAACCUGCCUUGUACUGGGGGAUAGCAGCUGGAAACGGCUGGUAAUACCGCAUAAGCGCACAAUGUUGCAUGACAUGGUGUGAAAAACUCCGGUGGUAUAAGAUGGACCCGCGUCUGAUUAGCUAGUUGGUGAGAUAACAGCCCACCAAGGCGACGAUCAGUAGCCGACCUGAGAGGGUGACCGGCCACAUUGGGACUGAGACACGGCCCAGACUCCUACGGGAGGCAGCAGUGGGGAAUAUUGCACAAUGGAGGAAACUCUGAUGCAGCGACGCCGCGUGAGUGAAGAAGUAUUUCGGUAUGUAAAGCUCUAUCAGCAGGGAAGAUAAUGACGGUACCUGACUAAGAAGCUCCGGCUAAAUACGUGCCAGCAGCCGCGGUAAUACGUAUGGAGCAAGCGUUAUCCGGAUUUACUGGGUGUAAAGGGAGUGUAGGUGGCCAUGCAAGUCAGAAGUGAAAAUCCGGGGCUCAACCCCGGAACUGCUUUUGAAACUGUAAGGCUGGAGUGCAGGAGGGGUGAGUGGAAUUCCUAGUGUAGCGGUGAAAUGCGUAGAUAUUAGGAGGAACACCAGUGGCGAAGGCGGCUUACUGGACUGUAACUGACACUGAGGCUCGAAAGCGUGGGGAGCAAACAGGAUUAGAUACCCUGGUAGUCCACGCC
rnacentral:rRNA from 1 species